CCUACGGGAGGCAGCAGUGAGGAAUAUUGGUCAAUGGGCGCGAGCCUGAACCAGCCCAGUCGCGUGAGGGAAGACGGUCCUAUGGAUUGUAAACCUCUUUUGUCGGGGAGCAAAAGACGCCACGCGUGGCGUUCCGAGAGUACCCGACGAAUAAGCAUCGGCUAACUCCGUGCCAGCAGCCGCGGUAAUACGUAGGUGGCGAGCGUUAUCCGGAAUGAUUGGGCGUAAGGGGUGCGCAGGCGGUCCUGCAAGUCUGGAGUGAAACGCAUGAGCUCAACUCAUGCAUUGCUUUUGAUACUGGAGGACUGGAGAGCAGGAGAGGGCGGUGGAACUCCAGGUGUAGCGGUAAAAUGCGUAGAUAUAUGGAAGAACACCAGGGGCGAAGGCGGCCGCCUGGCCUGUUGCGGACGCUGAGGCACGAAAGCGUGGGGAGCAAAUAGGAUUAGAUACCCCAGUAGUC
rnacentral:rRNA from 1 species